rnacentral:rRNA from 1 species
GAUGAACGCUGGCGGCGUGCCUAAUACAUGCAAGUAGAACGCUGAAGCUUGGUGCUUGCACCGAGCGGAUGAGUUGCGAACGGGUGAGUAACGCGUAGGUAACCUACCUCUUAGCGGGGGAUAACUAUUGGAAACGAUAGCUAAUACCGCAUAAAAGUCGACAUUGCAUGAUGUUGACUUGAAAGGUGCAACUGCAUCACUAAGAGAUGGACCUGCGUUGUAUUAGCUAGUUGGUGAGGUAACGGCUCACCAAGGCGACGAUACAUAGCCGACCUGAGAGGGUGAUCGGCCACACUGGGACUGAGACACGGCCCAGACUCCUACGGGAGGCAGCAGUAGGGAAUCUUCGGCAAUGGACGGAAGUCUGACCGAGCAACGCCGCGUGAGUGAAGAAGGUUUUCGGAUCGUAAAGCUGUGUUGUAAGAGAAGAACGAGUGUGAGAGUGGAAAGUUCACACUGUGACGGUAACU